rnacentral:tRNA from 1 species
GGGGUCAUGGUGUAACCAGGCUAUCAUCUAGGACUCCAGUUGUCUUUGAAGAAAAGCGCGCUCCUGACACUUUAGAUGAUGAACAACUGGAGUGCUGAGGCAAGAGAAAUCCUAGGAUCUGGGUUCAAAUCCCAGUGACCCCA